UUUUAAAAAAAAACAAACGUUAGUUAAUAAAAGUGAAUUGAUCACUUUUACAUACCAUCAUAAGCUUCACAAAGCAGGAAUUGUCUUCAACAAAAAAACUCUUCCUGGUUGUAGGAAAAAUUAUAUUAAAACUUUAUUUUUUUGCCCAGUAAUUAAAAUGUAAGACAUUGAAUGAUCCAAGUCUUGAACUAUUCAGAUGCAGAAUUUAAUUAGUGUAUCAGUUCUGUGCAGCUAAAAGAUUCAUAUCUUGAUUAAAUGUGUUUUAAAAAAAAUGUAGUUGAAACGUAUACCAUUCUCCUAGCAUUAUUCCAAGAUCUCUUUUUGUUACAGUUUGUUACCAUCAAUAUAUAAUUCUGUUGUUCCUCUAGCCACAUUCCUGUAAGUUUAUUUAUUUAGUUCAUGGAAAGUUGUACUGUCUCCAACAGUCUGUUUAGUAAUGGGACAAGGGGAGAUAGAGCAGCAGGGCACAUAAGGGGGAGUUAAAUCAGUGUUAAAAUUAAAAGUCUGCUUAUCUUAUUUAAAGAAGUUUGAGAAUAACAUUGGAAAAUAUUCUCAGUCAAUUUUUCUUGCCAUGAUAAAUCAGAACAGGAUAAAACACAAAACGAAAAUCAUUAAUUUAUUUUGUUUCUGCUAUAUUUGGCCAUUGCUAGCAAAAUGUUCUUAGCUUUCAGAUAAGUGUGUAUGCAUAACAGCUGGGUCUCUGUUGGUGGUAUUUGCAAGUGAUGAUUUGAGCCCUAUAUCUUAAGUGUCAUAAAGGAUAUCAAAAACUGUUCAAGUCUCAUAAAGGAAAUCAAAAUCUGGUCCCUAAAACCCAAAAUAUCAAAUAUAUCUCAGUGAAAAUCUUUUAAAAAAUUAGAUUCAUCUUAAAAUAGUCAAUUUUGUUUAAAAAGUUGUACACUUUUAUAAUUGUGUUUAAAGUAUAUAAAAUUAAAGAGGUCAAGAAUAAAAAGUGAAUAGUAUUACUAAAUUUAUUAUUUUUUUAAUCAUUUUAUGUGUUAAAUUAAAACCCUUUUUUUUAAAUAAUACAUCAUCAGUUUGUUUAGAUAAAACUUCUUGAGUAUACAUGAAAACUUACACAAGUUUUAUGAAUUUUGAUUUAAUUUUAUAUUGAAGUUUUUUUUUAAAGUAAAGUGUGAUUUUGUUAUUUCUGUUGUCAUGUCAAAGUUCAUGAACUGAACUUUUUGCUGUCCGAAAAAGUAUUUAUAUUUUAAGACUUACAUAAAUGUAUGUUUUGGUGGUAGUGUGUGUAUAUGUGUAUUUGCUUUAGGUCACAAGUUGAAUAUUCAUGUUUCUUGUCCACUGAAACACUGAGCCAGGCAUUUAUCUGUUGCUGUUUUUAAGUUUCCAGGAACUCUUUUAACAAGUUUGCAUUCCAGAGUGUAUUCUGUGAGGGAGAAAUCAAAUGUUUUUUGGGCCUUAAGUAAAGUUUCACUAUCUGAGUGCAUGUCUUUGGGGCAGACGCAAAUGAUGAUAACUGUCUCAUAGCCGUGGUUCACAAGGGUAUUAAAGAGUUCAGCAACAAUGACCUACCUGAUUGACAUUGUCUCAUUUUGGGAAAUACAUUUCUACAAUCCCAAGUAAAAAAAAAAAAUCUUGUUGACUCCACAAGGACUCAAACCCACAGCCUUGGGAUCAUCACCUGUAUGUCAAAUGCUCAUUACUUGAUCACUGCCAUAUAUUUUGUUGUAUAAAUUAAAAACAAUGCAUAUAAUUAAUAUUUGUGUAACUUAUGGAUGUAUAUUAGAUGAGUAGCUAAUGUUUUUAUGUUGGGGUCAUUUUUAUUGGUGAUGGAAUAUUGUGAUCAUCUCCCCCCCCCC